AUUCUAAUCUAGGGGAUGCCACUGAGUCCGCUGGAUCCAGGGCAGGAGCCACAGCAUCAGAGCAGGAGGGAAGAGUACACCCUGUGACCAGGAAUUAAGCCACCUUCCUCCUGGAAGCCACACCCUCCUGGCCAGAAGUCUCCAUAAAUGUUUGCUGGAUGUACCAAAUGAAGAGAGCUUAUGACAGAAGGAAACGUUUGAAGCAAGGAAAGAGAAAAAGAGGAGAAAAACACUUCAUCCAAAAUUGCAAAUCAGAGAAAUGGCCACAGACUUGUUUUGUGUCAUCCGUUUGGUGUUUGCAUCAGUCAUGGUGGACUCAUCCUGGAUUACCCAGGUGGACUCUAACCUCAAGGACAAGUAUCCUUAGAAGAGAAGGAUGAGAAGAAGAUGAAGACACAGGCACAGAGGAAGCUGGAGGCAGAGGUUAGGGUUACGUAGCCAUGAGCUAAGAAAGCCAGCAGCCACCAGGAGCUGGAGGAGGCCAGCAAGGCUUCUCCUCUAGAGCCUCUGGAGGGAAUCCAGCCCUGCUGACACCUUGAUUUUUGGACUUCUGGCCUCCAGACUAAGAG
ensembl:lncRNA